CUAGUUCUUUCAUGAUUAUGUGAUAGGUGGUGCAUGGCCGUUCUUAGUUCGUGGAGUGAUCUGUCUGCUUAAUUGCGUUUCAUAUUAUUAUAUAAUAUACACACAUCACGUGUGUUAUAUUAUUACUUUGAAAGCAACGAACGUGACCGUAGCCUUUUAUUAUAUACGCUACACGUAUAUUAAUUAAAGGGACCGCUGUAUCUUUCUUUAAACCAGAGUAAGGUUACGGCAAUAACAGGUCUGUGAUGCCCUUCGAUGUUCCGGGCUGCACACGUGCUACAAUGAUUAUUUCAUUAAGUAUCUACUGUGCAAUAAUAUAUUAUUAUUAUUCAAAAACCUACUCUGAGAAUGAGCGGGUAAUCAAUUAGAAGUAAUGAUUUCCAAAUUUAUACACUCAUGUACCGUAUAUAUUAUCCCAUAUUUUAAUUAAUAUGCGUGUAUAAUAUUGUACGCUGUACGUAUAUUUAUUAAUUCAUGGUGGGGAUAGACUAUUGUUAAUUGUUGGUCUCGGUCUUAACUAGGAAUGCCUUGUACGGGUCAUUGGUUCAACAGACCACCCGGAAUACGUCCCUGCCCUUUGUACACACCGCCCGUCGCUCUUACCGAUGAACUUCGCUAGAAUCUAUUGGACUGUACCAUUGUGGUAUGGAAAGAUAU
rnacentral:rRNA from 1 species